CGCGGGCUUCAGUAGUUGUGGCGCGCCAGGGCUCGAACCUCUGUCCCCUGCAUUGGCAGGCGGAUUCUUAACCACUGUGCCACCAGGGAAGCCCCUGUCCUGGUCACUUAAACCCCUGGAGUGCCUUAUGAUGAAGAGAUCUUCAUCGUUAUCUCACAAAGCAACCCAGGCUCAGAGCAGUUAAGAAUCUUGCCCAGGUCACACAGCUAGUAUGUGCAACUGGUGGAGCUGGCUUCCGCCCGACUCCUGCAUCCCCAGCAUCAAUUUGGUCCCUCUUCCACUGCCCUCCAGUUGUCCAUCCUUAACACACGGGUUAACUCAAAAUUUCGGAGCCCCAGCAGUCUGCAGCAGCCAGCGACCCCCGGAAGUCUCUGCACACUCCGGCACUGGGCCCACCCCGACCGGGGCUCCCGCGCAGGGCCCCGCCCCCUCUCCUCUGGGAGGGGCGGGAACGAAGCUCCCGCCGGCCUUGGCCUUCCAGAAAGUUCCCUGGGAAAGCCCGAGCGCAGAGGUCACCGGGAGGGGGAACGGGGAGCGAGCAGCUGAGGAGGGGGAAGGGGACAGUGAGCACUUCUGGGGCCAGGAUCUCGGCCCCGACCCUACGCCUGGCGCGCGGAGCAGGGAGUAGCCGCCCUCCCCUUCGGGCGUGGACGAAGCCUGUGCCCGGGCCCCGCCGCACUCCUCUCCUCCCGCCACCCCUAGCUCGCCGGUUCCCUCCCCCCGCCACGACGGGGCGGGGGGCGGGGCCGCGGCCUUGGCCCCGCCCCCACCGCGGCGCGUCUCCUCCGCCUCCGUUCCAGACCCUGGGCUGGUGCCUCCACUAACCCGGGUAGCUGGGAAAUGCUUCCUCUGGGACGCCGCGCGCUGGCCUCUCGGGGCCGUCCACGGGCAGCGGGGGAGGGGGAAGGGUAGGGACUUGAGGCUCGCGCGCCCCGGACCCGCUUCCCGCCUCAAUCCGUGGCAGCCCAGACGGCAGAAGAUGAAGGUUUUAUUUUAUUUAGUGAAACACUCUUUUGAAGGCUGAAAGUCUCCUCCGUUGACUGCAGAGACUCCUCCAUUGAGAGUCACCUCUUCUGGGUCCGAAACUGUCGGAAGAGCCACUGGACGAUGAAGGGCCACAGGAGGAAGAAGAGCAGCGUGGGAACAGAGAGCCCAGUGCCGGGCCUUGGCCUCUGCCGCCAAGAGGAGAGAGUCAGGAGCCAGCCCGGGCCUCAGCACAGGCUGGGCCCUCCUUCGCAACCUGCUUACAGAGCUCAGGUGGGAGCUUCUGCCUCCCUCUCCCCAGUCUGAGGACUGGGGCUCCCAGUUUGUCCCUGACACGUUGAGCCCUCUCUCCCAUAUCCUCCUCCAAGGUACCGAGAAGGCUGAAGGCUGGAGAGGCUGCUGAGUGGAGAGACUGGCUUCGAGGCCGUCUCCUCUGGGCCACAAAGCAGUGACCCUGUUGGUGUGGCCCGAAGACCCCAUAUUGUAAAGGACAUGCCACAUAUUUCAAAUGAGGACCCUGGGUGCUCAGAUUUUAGUUUAUAAAUACCAUUCUCUGCUGAAUGGAGAAGUGGCAGAUUUUAGGUCUGGAGCAGGGAAGGUAGAAUUGAAUGUGAGACGUCUUGUACCAGGAAGCAAGGAAGCUUUUAAAGAUUAAUGAGGUCAAAUUACCAGAACAUAGAACCCAGCUUGAAAGGGUCCCACCAAAGUUGUGACAGCCUGGGCAUCAAAAAGAAUGAUGAUUGCAGUUGACUGAAAUACUGAGUCUUUAAAAUCCAUGAGUUCAUGAUGAUACUCAAAGAGAAAGGGGAAAUUUAUCACCAUUGAGGUGGCUGUUAAAUCAACUCCUUACUCUAAAAAUAGGUAAUUAAAGAGAAAGAAUUAAGCACUUAUGCUGACUUCCAUAAGGCACUGUAUUUCGGGGAAAUCCUAGAUGAUCAGGGAAACUCUACAGAAAAAUGGCAGCUAAUAAAUGUUAAAGGAAUAAUAGAAUUUAAAAGUCAACAUUGUUUUUUGUAACCAGUAAAUAAAUUAUUGAUCCAG